rnacentral:lncRNA from 1 species
CUUGAAUUUACUGAUACAUGGUCUUGAAUACGACUCUUCCUCACAUGUACAAACUCUGUAUCUAUCUAACCUCGAUCAUUUAACUAGUCAACAGUGUCAGUGUAUAAUAAUAUAUAUUUGUGAUGUUUAUAGAAAAAAUAUAUUCAUUUAAACAUCAGUCUCUCAAUCCCCGAGCCGGGAGCCCCCCGGCUAUUUACACCCGGGAAAAGGAUCGCACUAGCGAAGUCUAAAGUUCAUCAAAUAUCGCGGGCGCGGUUCAUGGGUGUAUGGGUGGCUCAAUGUUGGGUGGUCAUCUCACUGAUCUCAAAAUAUGGCUGUUUGCCAGGAGUGAAGAACGGGAAAAUUUAAAAUAUGUAAAAAAGCUUGGAAAAUCGUUUCACAUAACAAAUUGUAAAACUUUUCUUCACAAUCUUUUUUUAUAAAGGUAAACAUUAACUAAGAAUUGAUUUAGUAUGAUAAAUUUCAAAGUAUAGGGCAAGUUUGCAUGUUUCAAUUGUUUAUGUAUGCAUGACUUUGUAUUAAUAUAGAUUUUGUUCUUGUUGAGGGUGGGAAAGGGUAUUUUCGUGAGCCGUGAAUGGUCAAUAUUUGUUCGCGUGAAAUGUGAAAUGCUUGGUUUCAGUGUCGUGAAAUGUGAUUUGUUCUACAGCCGUGAGGCGUGAUUGUCGAUAAAAAUGCUCCGUGAAAUGAGAAUUAAGGAUGUCUGUUUCGUGAACUGCGAUUUUGCUUUGUUUAUUUCGAUCUAUUUUAUAAUAGUCAUAAUAGACAUGGUACGCGAUAAUCAAUUUAUAUGAUCUCACUCGAUUAAUUGCACAAGAGUAAAAACUUCGGAGGCCUUUCCUUCUAAGUUAUGAUGCAGUUUUUAACUGACUGGUUGUAACAUGCAUUAAACAUACUCUUAAUAAACCUAUUAUUAUUAUAUUCUUUUAUUAUUUUAUUAGAAUCUAGUUUUCCGUGAAAUUGCUUUCUUAAGACACGUGAAUCGUGAAACGGCUUUGUUUUUCGUUGUGAAACGUGAUCCAUACUCUCGCUUUCUCACCCUCCUUGUUGUUCAAGUCUUUCCUAUACAUUGUAUGCGAAAGUUUCUUAAAUUAACUUUUGUAGAAGUUCAUGAUAAAAAGGAAAGCAUAUUUUCAUUAGCGUCCUGUACGAAUUAAAUUUUUUUUCUUUUCAAAGUGCGAGUAAUAAGUUGAAGAGAUUUAAUUUAAUAAUAUCGGCAAAAAGCCGUUAAUAUUCAAUUCACAUUUAAAAACGUUUUUAACAAGAGUGAAUUUGAGGGUGUAUUUCCGAAAGAUCUUCGGCGCAGAACAGCGACUCGAACAAAGUUUGGCGCACAUUUUUGGCGCAGAUUGAUUGAUCGCAAAUAUUGAUUUGGCGCAACAAUUUGGCGCAGAAUGAUCCCAAAGAUCAAUUUGGCAAAGAUUUGGUGAAGCAAUUGAGCAUUUAUGUAAUAGUAUAUUUGAAAUUAUGAUUUGAGAAGAACGAAAAGCCAAAUUUCGAAAAUUCGGUGAAAAUUUCGGAUAUUUCCGAAAACCGCAUAUUUUUUCGCGACAAUUUUCUUGGCGCAGGUUUUGGCGCAGCUCGGUACAUGAAUUCGAAAAAUCUUCGGCGCAGAAAAAUUGAGAGAUUCACCCUGGACUUUUUAAUAUGUAGUUUCGUUUCGAAUUUUACAUUAAAAUAAAGCCCAUAGGCAUAGAAACCAAAAUAAUAUGCUUACUUUAUAUAUUUUAGAAAUUGAUAGUUCUGUACUUAAAAGUGUUCAAUUUCAUCUACUUUUUGCAGGUUUGACGUUUGUACAAAAAAAGUUUUAAAAAUUAUCGUGUUGCCAUGACAAACAUGACGUGCAACGCGAGCUUGCGUUCAAUGUUGGCGUAAUCACGAAUACUUCAUGUUGAAACAAUGUUUGGAGAAUAUACGCGAGGGGUUGUUGCAUGCAUGUAUUUCUAGUUUAUUUUUACAAGCUACUGAGUAUUUAAUAUGAGCAGAUACAUGUACGCUUAGCGUACCUAUUUUUAAAUAUGAUAUGGAGUGCCAUUAUUUCUGAAUAAAUUAACCCAUGCCCCUGAGGAGAAAAAUCAUGUGGUGUUUAGACAGAGUAAAAUAAUAAAGUAGCUAGGGCACAUUGGGGUGCAAUGCAACUUAAUUUGUCUAAUUAGCCAGAGGGAAGUUUGCUGGCUCUGAUUGGGUUAAGCAACUCAAUGCCAUUACAGUUUCAAUAUGGUUUUGCAAAACCAUGUUCGAAUAGUGAAAAAAAUUUAAAACAAUAAAAAGAAAAUUUUAAAAAGCACUAAGGGGCUGCAUGUUUAUGUGAGCCUGGCUGGCCCGGUUAACUGAGGCGCCUGGCUUAGUACAAAUUCCUUAACAAAACAAUUUUAGUUUACAUGUAAACCAGGCCAGCCCGCCUAGCCGAGAUCUCGCUUGGACUUAGAAAAGGGACUCCCAUGUAAAGUCAUCAGCCUGGGUAAUCGUCUGGCAAAAAAACAUCUGUACAAACUACAAUAUCAAUUUGAAUUAGUAUUUUUUUGGACAAAUAGUUAUAAUAUUUAUUUCUUAAGUUGUUCUUGUCGAUUAGAUAGUUUUAAAUCGAAAAAUAGCUCUAUAAAAUGUGCAUUUAACUUGCGUGACAAACCUUACAGUAUUAUAACAAGUAAACAACUUUUCCCCACCAUAUUUGGCUUGGUAAAGUUUCAGCCUGGUUAACUGGGCCAGCUGGGCUCAUGUAAACAGCCCCUAAGUGGCACAAAAUAAAAAUGGUAUGGCAAAGACUGGAAUGAGGGUGGGAAAGAAGAUAUUUGUUUGUGUGCAAUGUUUCAUUUUAGUGUCGUGAAAUGUGAUUUGUUCUACAGCAAUGAGGCGUGAUUCCAUUGUUGAUAAUAAUGCUCUGUGAAAUGAGAAUUAAGGGUGUCUGUUUCGUAAACUGUGAUUUUGCUUUGUUUUUUUUUUUCAAUUUAUUUUAUAAUAGCCAUAAUCGAGGCCAUAAUAGACAUAAUAGGCGAUAAUAAUCGACCUCACUUGAUUGCACAAGAGUAAAAACUUCGGAGCCGUCUUUCGAAUUUUGGAGGUUGUCGGACGUUCUCAUCACUCAACCUUGUAAAUUGCAAUGUAGUUUUUAACUGCCUGGCUGCUGUACCAAUUUUUGCAUUAAAAUACUCUUAAUAAACCUAUUAUUAUUAUAUUAUUUUUAUUAGAAUCCAGUUUUUAGUGAAAUGUGAAAUUGCUUUUUUAAGACAUGUGAAUUGUAAAACAGCUUCUUUUUUUCGUUCUGAAACGUUACCCAUACACCCCCCCCCCCCUUUCCCACCCUCUGGGAUCACAUUGAUGUUCAAAUUCCUGACAGCCAAGCCAGAUUAUUUAGUGUUCAAGCCAAACCCCCACCCCAUUUACAUUAAUAGGUUGAUUAAAAUAUAACAUGUACAAAAUCAUAUUAAUAAUUAAAUAUGCAAAUAUCGAAAUAUGAUUUGCUAUGAAAAAUAUGCAUGUUCCUAAUUUCUUUUUAUCAAGGAUCAGAACACUGAUAAGCUUUAACAGCAGCUUCCCUUGCUUUGGUUACGAUUGUUUCAGCUUUUGCAUGUCCCAAGAAUUUAGUUCCUUCAAAUCUACCUUCAUUUCUUGGAAUACCAUGAGUACCAUCAGGAAAAGUCAGCAAACCCAAACCACGUACGUCUCCUUCGAAAAAUUCACCCUCAAAUUUCAUUCCAUCUGUACGAGUGUAGACACCAACUCCGUGAAAUUUACCGUAGAUAAACUCGCCUUCAUAUCGAGCUCCAUCAGGUAGUUUUAAUACGCCAUAACCAGAGCA